rnacentral:rRNA from 1 species
GCUGGCGGCAUGCUUAACACAUGCAAGUCGAACGGUAACAGCAGGAGCUUGCUUCUGGCUGACGAAUGGCGGACGGGUGAGUAACGCGUGGGAACAUGCCUAUCAGUUGGGGACAACCUGUGGAAACGCAGGCUAAUACCGAAUACGUUCUACGGAAUAAAGGUGGCCUCUGCUUGCAAGCUAUCGCUGAUAGAUUGGCCCGCGUUGGAUUAGCUGGUUGGUGGGGUAAAGGCCUACCAAGGCGACGAUCCAUAGCUGGUUUGAGAGGAUGAUCAGCCACACUGGGACUGAGACACGGCCCAGACUCCUACGGGAGGCAGCAGUGGGGAAUAUUGGACAAUGGGCGCAAGCCUGAUCCAGCAAUGCCGCGUGUGUGAAGAAGGCCUGAGGGUUGUAAAGCACUUUCAAUAGUGAAGAAGGGUAACAGGCUAAUAACCUGUUGCAUUGACGUUAACUAUAGAAGAAGCACCGGCUAACUCUGUGCCAGCAGCCGCGGUAAUACAGAGGGUGCAAGCGUUAAUCGGAAUUACUGGGCGUAAAGCGCGCGUAGGUGGUUUGAUAAGUUGGAUGUGAAAUCCCCGGGCUUAACCUGGGUCGGUCAUUCAAAACUGUCAGACUAGAGUAUGGUAGAGGGUAGUGGAAUUUCUAGUGUAGCGGUGAAAUGCGUAGAUAUUAGAAGGAACACCAGUGGCGAAGGCGACUGCCUGGACUGAUACUGACACUGAGGUGCGAAAGCGUGGGUAGCGAACAGGAUUAGAUACCCUGGUAGUCCACGCCGUAAACGAUGAUAACUAGAUGUUGGGGUCCAUAGAGACUUUAGUAUCGAAGCUAACGCGUUAAGUUAUCCGCCUGGGGAGUACGGUCGCAAGAUUAAAACUCAAAGGAGUUGACGGGGGCCCGCACAAGCGGUGGAGCAUGUGGUUUAAUUCGAUGCAACGCGAAGAACCUUACCAUCCCUUGACAUCCUCAGAACUUGAUAGAGAUAUCUUGGUGCCUUCGGGAACUGAGAGACAGGUGCUGCAUGGCUGUCGUCAGCUCGUGUCGUGAGAUGUUGGGUUAAGUCC